rnacentral:misc_RNA from 1 species
GGAUUGGGGUGGGGGUGGA